AUCGCUUCUCGGCCUUUUGGCUAAGAUCAAGUGUAGCAUCUGUUCUUAUCAGUUUAAUAAAUUCACAGAAUUUUUCUUGCAAGGGAAGGUUUUAUUUGUUUUUUAUCUUUGUUCUGUUGUUUUGAGAAGGAGAGAGUUGAGCGACUCUUUAUCUGAACACCUGGACCUUUU
rnacentral:snRNA from 1 species